AGUGAACGCUGGCGGUAGGCCUAACACAUGCAAGUCGAACGGCAGCACAGUAAUAGCUUGCUCUUACGGGUGGCGAGUGGCGGACGGGUGAGGAAUACAUCCGAAUCUACUUUUUCGUGGGGGAUAACGUAGGUAAACUUACGCUAAUACCGCAUACGACCUACGGUUGAAAGCAUGGGAUCUUCUGACCUUGCGCGAUUGAAUGAGCCGAUGUCGGAUUAGCUAGUUGGCGGGGUAAAGGCCCACCAAGGCGACGAUCCGUAGCUGGUCUGAGAGGAUGAUCAGCCACACUGGAACUGAGACACGGUCCAGACUACUAAGGGAGGCAGCAGUGGGGAAUAUUGGACAAUGGGCGCAAGCCUGAUCCAGCCAUACCGCGUGGGUGAAGAAGGCCUUCGGGUUGUAAAGCCCUUUUGUUGGGAAAGAAAAGCAGCAGGUUAAUACCCCGCUGUUCUGACGGUACCCAAAGAAUAAGCACCGGCUAACUUCGUG
rnacentral:rRNA from 1 species